CCUACGGGUGGCAGCAGUCGGGAAUAUUGCGCAAUGGAGGAAACUCUGACGCAGUGAAGCCGCGUGCAGGAAGAAGGUUCUCGGAUUGUUAAAUGCUUUAGACAGGGGAACAGAAAUGACGGUACCUGAGUAAGAAGCACCGGCUAAAUAAGUGCCAGCAGCCGCGGUCAUACGUAGGGUGCAAGCGUUAUCCGGAUUUACUGGGUGUAACGGGAGCGCUGGCGGCACGGCAAGCCUGAUGGGAAAGCCCGGGGCCCAACCGCGGCACUGCAGUCGGAACCAGCGGGCUGGAGUGCCGGAGAGGUAGGCGGAAUUCGUGGUGUAGCGGUGAAAUGCGUAGAUAUUGGGAGGAACACCAGUGGCGAAGGCAGCCUGCUGGACGGUGACUGACGCUGAGGCACGAAAGCGUGGGGAGCGAACAGGAUUAGAUACCCUAGUAGUC
rnacentral:rRNA from 1 species